UCUCCAAUGGGUCAUGGAAAAUGUCUUCAAGUGGAUGGGUAUGUCCCAUAUUUUAGAUGAUUUUUUCUUUGUGGGAUCCCCAAAUUCGAUAACCUGUAGAAACGAUCUUGCUAGUUUUUCAUUUCUAUGUAAAAAAAAAUUGGAAUGCCAAUAAAAAUGGAAAAAACUUAUGCACCUAC
rnacentral:sRNA from 1 species